rnacentral:rRNA from 1 species
CGCCUAACACAUGCAAGUCGAACGAAGUAGCAAUACUUAGUGGCAGACGGGUGAGUAACAUGUGGGUAUCUACCCUUUGGCCUGGAAUAACACGAGGAAACUUGUGCUAAUACCGGAUAAGUCUUUACGGAGAAAGCUUUAUGCACCAUUGGAUGAGCCCGCACUUGAUUAGUUUGUUGGUAGGGUAAUGGCCUACCGAGACUAUGAUCAAUAGCUGAUUUGAGAGGAUGAUCAGCCACAUUGGGACUGAGACACGGCCCAAACUCCUACGGGAGGCAGCAGUGGGGAAUCUUGCACAAUGGAGGAAACUCUGAUGCAGCGAUGCCGCGUGAGUGAAGAAGGCCUUUGGGUUGUAAAGCUCUUUCGUCGGGGAAGAAAAUGACUGUACCCGAAUAAGAAGGUCCGGCUAACUUCGUGCCAGCAGCCGCGGUAAUACGAAGGGACCUAGCGUAGUUCGGAAUUACUGGGCUUAAAGAGUUCGUAGGUGGUUGAAAAAGUUGGUGGUGAAAUCCCAGAGCUUAACUCUGGAACUGCCAUCAAAACUUUUCAGCUAGAGUAUGAUAGAGGAAGGCAGAAUUUCUAG